UCUCGUGACUGCGUGCCUUUUGAAGAAUGAGCCUGCGAGUUUGCGGUGUGUUGCGAGGUUAACCCGGGUGGGGUAGCCGUAGCGAAAGCGAGUCCGAAGAGGGCGUUUGAGUAGCACGCUCAAGACCCGAAGCGGAGUGAUCUAGCCAUGGGCAGGUUGAAGCGGCUGUAAGAGGUCGUGGAGGACCGAACCCACCAGGGUUGAAAACCUGGGGGAUGACCUGUGGUUAGGGGUGAAAGGCCAAUCAAACUCCGUGAUAGCUGGUUCUCCCCGAAAUGCAUUUAGGUGCAGCGUCGUGUGUUUCUUGCCGGAGGUAGAGCACUGGAUAGGCGAUGGGCCCUACCGGGUUACUGACCUUAGCCAAACUCCGAAUGCCGGUAAGUGAGAGCGCGGCAGUGAGACUGUGGGGGAUAAGCUCCAUGGUCGAGAGGGAAACAGCCCAGAGCAUCGACUAAGGCCCCUAAGCGUACGCUAAGUGGGAAAGGAUGUGGAGUCGCAGAGACAACCAGGAGGUUGGCUUAGAAGCAGCCACCCUUGAAAGAGUGCGUAAUAGCUCACUGGUCUAGUGAUUCCGCGCCGACAAUGUAGCGGGGCUCAAGCGUACCGCCGAAGUCGUGUCAUUGCAGCAUGAGGGCCAACGCCCGCUGUGAUGGGUAGGGGAGCGUCGUCUGCCGGGUGAAGCAGCCGUGUAAGCGAGUUGUGGACGGUUGACGAGUGAGAAUGCAGGCAUGAGUAGCGAUUCACACGUGGGAAACGUGUGCGCCGAUUGACUAAGGGUUCCUGGGUCAAGCUGAUCUGCCCAGGGUAAGUCGGGACCUAAGGCGAGGCCGACAGGCGUAGUCGAUGGAUAACCGGUUGAUAUUCCGGUACCCGCUGUGAAGCGUCAAACAUCGAGCAUCGUGAUGCUAAGGCCGUGAAGCCGCCGGGUGCGUCUUCGGACAAUCUCGGAGUGGUGGAGCCGCCGGCCCAAGCGGUUAGUAGGUGAGUGAUGGGGUGACGCAGGAAGGUAGUCCAUCCCGGGCGGUGGUUGUCCCGGGGUAAGGGUGUAGCCCGUCAUCUAGGUAAAUCCGGGUGGCUUGUGGGUGAGACCUGAUGCCGAGCCGAUUGUGGUGAAGUGGAUGAUCCUAUGCUGUCGAGAAAAGCCUCUAGCGAGUUUUAUGGCGGCCCGUACCCUAAACCGACUCAGGUGGUCUGGUAGAGAAUACCGAGGCGUUCGGGUGAACUAUGGUUAAGGAACUCGGCAAAAUGCCCCCGUAACUUCGGGAGAAGGGGGGCCACGCCUGGUGAGAGGACUUGCUCCUUGAGCUGGGGGUGGCCGCAGAGACCAGCGAGAAGCGACUGUUUACUAAAAACACAGGUCCGUGCGAAGCCGUAAGGCGAUGUAUACGGACUGACGCCUGCCCGGUGCUGGAACGUUAAGGGGACCGGUUAGCUCACUUUCGGGUGGGCGAAGCUGAGAACUUAAGCGCCAGUAAACGGCGGUGGUAACUAUAACCAUCCUAAGGUAGCGAAAUUCCUUGUCGGGUAAGUUCCGACCUGCACGAAUGGCGUAACGACUUCUCGACUGUCUCAACCAUAGGCCCGGUGAAAUUGCACUACGAGUAAAGAUGCUCGUUUCGCGCAGCAGGACGGAAAGACCCCGGGACCUUUACUACAGUUUGAUAUUGGUGUUCGGUUCGGCUUGUGUAGGAUAGCUGGGAGACUGUGAGCAUCGGACGCCAGUUCGGUGGGAGUCGUCGUUGAAAUACCAGUCUGGUCGUGCUGGAUGUCUAACCUGGGUCCGUGAUCCGGAUCAGGGACAGUGUCUGAUGGGUAGUUUAACUGGGGCGGUUGCCUCCUAAAGGGUAACGGAGGCGCCCAAAGGUUCCCUCAGCCUGGUUGGUAAUCAGGUGGUGAGUGUAAGUGCACAAGGGAGCUUGACUGUGAGACCGACGGGUCGAGCAGGGACGAAAGUCGGGACUAGUGAUCCGGCGGUGGCUUGUGGAAGCGCCGUCGCUCAACGGAUAAAAGGUACCCCGGGGAUAACAGGCUGAUCUUCCCCAAGAGUCCAUAUCGACGGGAUGGUUUGGCACCUCGAUGUCGGCUCGUCGCAUCCUGGGGCUGGAGUCGGUCCCAAGGGUUGGGCUGUUCGCCCAUUAAAGCGGUACGCGAGCUGGGUUUAGAACGUCGUGAGACAGUUCGGUCCCUAUCCGCUGCGCGCGUAGGAGUCUUGAGAAGGGCUGUCCCUAGUACGAGAGGACCGGGACGGACGAACCUCUGGUGUGCCAGUUGUUCUGCCAAGGGCAUGGCUGGUUGGCUACGUUCGGGAGGGAUAACCGCUGAAAGCAUCUAAGCGGGAAGCCUGCUUCGAGAUGAGGGCUCCCACCCACUUGAUGGGGUAAGGCUCCCAGUAGACGACUGGGUUGAUAGGCCAGAUAUGGAAGCCGGGUGACCGGUGGAGUUGACUGGUACUAAUAGGCCGAGGGCUUGUCCUC
rnacentral:rRNA from 2 species